AAACUACAACCUAUCAGUACCCAAGGGCAAUUCUAUCCGUUGAUCUUAGUGGUGAAAACUUAUCAGAUGUAGACUUCCUAGAUGAUUCUUCAACGGAGAGUUUGCUUCUGAGUGGGGAUGAAUACAAUCAGGACUUUGAUUCAACCAAUUUUGAGGAAUCUCAGGAUGAGGAUGAUGCUCUUAAUGAAAUUGUGCGAUGUAUUUGUGAGAUGGAUGAGGAGAAUGGCUUCAUGAUCCAGGUAAUUGUGCUUGUGUUGGCAACACAGCGUGUGCAUGGGGCUGCUGGAGGAGAGCAUUCCAGAGCAGUACAUCUGCUAUAUCUGCCGGGACCCACCAGAGGUGGAGUGCAAAAUAUCGUUAUGAUAAGGAGUGGUUGAAUAAUGGGAGAAUGUGCGGGUUAUCAUUUUUCAAAGAAAAUUAUUCUCAUCUCAAUGCCAAAAAGAUAGUUUCUACACAUCACCUGCUUGCUGAUGUCUAUGGUGUUACAGAAGUGCUACACGGGCUACAGCUGAAGAUUGGAAUACUAAAGAAUAAACAUCAUCCUGACCUUCAUCUCUGGGCUUGUUCCGGGAAGCGAAAAGACCAAGAUCAAAUAAUAGCUGGGGUGGAGAAAAAAAUAGCUCAAGACACAGUUAAUCG
rnacentral:lncRNA from 1 species